AUAUAAAAAAAAUUUUUUUAUACUAUUAACAAUAUUUAUUAUAUAUUCCAGGACAAAAUUAUGUCAUUGUAGCUUAUUUUUUAAAGCACGGCACUGAAGAUGCCGAGACGAGGAAUAGAAAAAACCUCCACGGACAACAGCUUUGGUCCUGGGCUUACCGUUAUUUUUUAUUAAGAUUAUACAUGCAAGCCUCAACAAUCCAGUGAAAACGCCCAUAACCCCUUAAAAGAUAAAAUGGAGCAGGCAUCAGGCACUAUUAUAAGCCCAUAACGCCUAGCCACGCCACACCCCCACGGGCUUACCAGCAGUAAUAAACAUUGGGCUAUAAGUGAAAACUUGACCCAGCUAUAAUAAUUUAGGGCUGGUCAAUUUCGUGCCAGCCACCGCGGUUAUACGAAAGGCCCAAAAUAACGACAAACCGGCGUAAAAUGUGACUAGAGAUCUAUAAUAUUUUAAACAUCAAAAUUCUUAAUCUAGUUGUAAAACACUCAGAUAAUGAAGAAAACCACUACAGAUAUUUUUAUAUUAUACUCUUGACCACACGAAAGCUUAGAAACAAACUAGGAUUAGAUACCCUACUAUGCUAAGCCCUGAACAUCGAUAGUUACCUAUACAGGACUUUCCGCCAGAGAACUACAAGUGAAAAACUUGAAACUCAAAGGACUUGACGGUGUCCCAUAUCGACCUAGAGGAGCCUGUCCUAUAAUCGAUAAUCCCCGUUCCACCCAACCUCAACUAGCAAAAUAUCAGCCUAUAUACCGCCGUCGACAGUUUACCCUAUGAAGGCCCAAUAGUAAACACAAUAGCCUUAUCGCUAACACGUCAGGUCAAGGUGUAGCAAAUGUUGAGGAAGAGAUUGGCUACAUUUUUUAUAAUAAAAAAUACGAAUUGCACUAUGAAACACUGCAUGAAGGUGAAUUUAGUAGUAAAACAGAUAAGAGUGUCUGUUUUAACAACGCUCUGGGACGCGUACACACCGCCCGUCACCCUCCUCAACAAAACAAAACAACUUUUAUAAACAAAGUCUACUAAAACUAGAGGAGGCAAGUCGUAACAUGGUAAGCGUACCGGAAGGUGUGCUUGGACUAACAAAGAGUAGCUUAUAUAAAGCACCCAGCUUACAACUGGAAGAUGCCGCAUUCAAACCACGACCUUUUUGAGCCCAACAACUUCAGCCAAACAAACCUACAAACCCUCAAACAACCCUUAAUUUAAACCAAACCAUUUUUUCCGGCCAGUAAAUGAGAUUAAACCCCACCAUGGCCUUACAAGUACCGCAAGGGAACAGUGAAAGAAUAAUGAAAAACUCUAAGCAUAAAACAGCAAAGACCAACCCCUGUACCUCCUGCAUCAUGGUUUAGCAAAACCUCUUCAGACAAAGCGAACCUUUAGCCUGCCCCCCCGAAACCAAACGAGCUAUUUUUGGGCAGCUGUUAAUCUAGAGCACACCCGUCCCUGUAGCAAAAGGGUGGGAAGACCUAAAAAUAGAGGCAAAAAGCCAAUCGAGCUUGGUGAUAGCUGGCUGCUCAAUAAAAGAAUUUAAGUUCAACUUUAGGUAUGUGUAAAUUAUUUCCAAAAUUCAUUCUUCCUCCUAAAGAAAAUCAAUGGGGGUACAGCCCCAUUGAACCGGAAUACAGCCCGAACUGAGAGAAACCCACCUUUAUUAACCUAAGUAGGCUUCAAAGCAGCCACCAUACAAUUGCGUUACAGCAUCCAACCAAAAUAAUUUCAACAGCCCAAACUAUCUCCUGAUAUACUUCGAGCUAUUCUAUAUUAACAUAGAAAUACCAAUGCUAAAAUUAGUAAUAAGAAAUAAUAAUUUCUCUCUGCAUCCCCUUAAAUCAGAAUAGAAAAUCUACUGAUAAUUACCACCACAUGACCCCACAUACACUAGAUAAAAGUCAUCAAAAAUUUGUUAACCCAACACAGGCAUGCACUAAAGAAAGACAAAAAGCCGUAAAAGGAACUCGGCAACAACCUGUCCCAACUGUUUACCAAAAACAUAGCCUUUAGCUUUACAAGUAUUAAAGGUCCCGCCUGCCCAGUGACUUUUUAAACGGCCGCGGUAUCCUAACCGUGCAAAGGUAGCAUAAUCACUUGUCCCCUAAAUAGGGACUGGAAUGAAUGGCUAAAUGAGGACAAAACUGUCUCUUACGGACUAGCCAAUGAAAUUGAUCCUCCAGUACAAAAGCUGGAAUAAACACAUAAGACGAGAAGACCCUGUGGAGCUUAAAAACCAAAAGUAUCAAAUAUGCUUCCUGGAUUUUUAGUUGGGGCGACUUCGGAGCAAAAAAAACCCUCCAAAAUAUGAAUUUAUUUAUUAAGACUAACACACCAAAAAUAAUUUUUAUAGACCCAGCAGUUAUUCUACUGUCUGAUCAAUGAACCAAGUUACCCCAGGGAUAACAGCGCCAUCCUCUUCUAGAGUCCCUAUCGACAAGAGGGUUUACGACCUCGAUGUUGGAUCAGGACACCCCUAUAGUGCAGCCGCUAUAAAAGGUUCGUUUGUUCAACGAUUAAAGUCCUACGUGAUCUGAGUUCAGACCGGAGAAAUCCAGGUCGGUUUCUAUCUAUGCAGCACUAUUUUUAGUACGAAAGGACCAAAAUAGUGGGACCUAUACUAAAUAAACGUCCCAAAAUAAACUACUGACUUCUACUAAAGUAGUUAUUAUGCUUUUCUCCUAAAUCAAAAUCAGGUUUAUUAAGGUGGCAGAGUCAAGCAAUGCAAAAGACCUAAAAUCUUUCUACAGGGAAGCAAAUUCCCUUCUUAAUAAUGCAGAAACUUAUAACACAUAUUAUUAGCCCAAUCUCAUACAUCAUCCCCAUCCUUAUUGCUGUAGCAUUCUUAACAUAUCUUGAACGAAAAAUCCUAGGUUAUAUACAACUCCGAAAAGGCCCAAACAUAGUCGGACCUUUUGGGAUUUUACAACCAAUUGCUGAUGGGGUUAAACUAUUUAUUAAAGAACCUAUUCGCCCAACACAUGCAUCCCCGAUACUUUUUAUUUUAGCCCCAACCCUAGCCCUCUUACUAGCCCUUAUAAUAUGAACCCCUAUACCCAUACCCCACCCCUCGCAGACAUAAACCUGGGUCUCCUAUUCCUACUCGCCCUCUCAAGUAUAAUAGUCUAUACAAUUUUAUGAUCUGGAUGAGCAUCCAACUCAAAAUACGCCCUAAUAGGGGCCCUUCGAGCUAUUGCACAAACAAUUUCCUACGAAGUUACCUUAGGCAUUAUUUUACUCUCCAUUAUUAUAUUAACCGGCGCCUUUACAAUAUCCACUCUUAUCAUUACACAAGAACACACAUGAUUAAUUUUAUCUACCUGACCUCUAGCCAUAAUAUGAUACGUAUCAACCCUAGCAGAAACAAACCGAGCACCCUUCGACUUAACAGAGGGCGAAUCAGAACUUGUUUCAGGCUUUAAUGUAGAAUACGCAGCAGGACCCUUCGCACUUUUUUUUCUAGCUGAAUAUAUAAACAUUUUAAUGAUAAACACACUAUCAUGCAUCUUAUUUCUUAGUCCAACCAUCACCUUACAAACAGAACUUUUUACAAUUAACUUAAUAACAAAAACUACCCUACUAACUAUUGGUUUUUUAUGAGUCCGAGCCUCCUACCCACGAUUUCGUUAUGAUCAGCUAAUACAUCUUCUAUGAAAACAAUUUCUCCCAGCUACUCUAGCACUUUAUUUAUGAUAUAUCUCCUUUCCAAUCUCACUAGCCGGUCUCCCACCAUUAAAUUAACUUUCACC